rnacentral:rRNA from 1 species
CCUACGGGUGGCAGCAGUGGGGAAUAUUGCACAAUGGGGGAAACCCUGAUGCAGCGACGCCCCGUGAGUGAAGACGGAUUUCGGAAUGUAAACCUCUAUCAUCAGUGAAGAAGAAAGACGGUACCUAACUAACAAGCCACGGCUAACUACGUGCCAGCAGCCGCGGUAAUACGUAGGGGGCAAGCGUUAUCCGGAUUUACUGGGUGUAAAGGGAGCGUAGGCGGGUGGGCAAGUCUGAAGUGAAAGCCCAGGGCUUAACUCUGGGACUGCAUUUGAAACUGUGUGGCUAGAGUGCUGGAGAGGUAAGUGGAAUUCCUAGUGUAGCGGUGAAAUGCGUAGAUAUUAGGAGGAACACCAGUGGCGAAGGCGGCUUACUGGACAGUAACUGACGUUGAGGCUCGAAAGCGUGGGGAGCAAACAGGAUUAGAUACCCCAGUAGUC